rfam:Paenibacillus sp. Soil750 contig_1, whole genome shotgun sequence.
AUAGAAGAGGUUCGCAAACUCCCUCUCUAAAAAACUAUGAAAUG